CCUACGGGUGGCAGCAGUGAGGAAUAUUGGUCAAUGGGCGCGAGCCUGAACCAGCCAAGUAGCGUGCAGGAUGACUGCCCUCCGGGUUGUAAACUUCUUUUAUAAAGGAAUAAAGUGAGGCACGUGUGCCUUUUUGUAUGUACUUUAUGAAUAAGGAUCGGCUAACUCCGUUCCAGCAGCCGCGGUAAUACGGAGGAUCCGAGCGUUAUCCGGAUUUCUUGGGUUUAAAGGGAGCGUAGAUGGGUUGUUAAGUCAGUUGUGAAAGUUUGCGGCUUAACCGUAAAAUUGCAAUUGAUACUGGCAGUCUUGAGUACAGUUGAGGUAGGCGGAAUGCGGGGUGUAGCGGUGAAAUGCUUAGAUAUCACGAAGAAAUCCGAUUGAGAAGGCAGCUUACUAAACUGCCACUGACAUUGAUGCUCGAAAGUGUGGGUAUCAAACAGGAUUAGAUACCCGAGUAGUC
rnacentral:rRNA from 1 species